CCUAGUGGCUCAGAUGAUAAAGAAUCUGCCUACAAAGCAGGAGACCUGGGUUCGAUCCCUGCAUCAGGA
rnacentral:tRNA from 1 species